CCAUGAAAUCAUCUAAAUACCCUAAAAGCAUCAGAUCCCUCCUGAUCCUGGAAGCUAAAUAGGGUUUGUCUUGGUUAGUACUUGGAUGGGAGGCCACCAAUGAAUACCAGGUGCUAUAGGCA
rnacentral:rRNA from 1 species